rnacentral:rRNA from 1 species
GGAUUCCCCUAGUAACUGCGAGUGAAGCGGGAAAAGCUCAAAUUUAAAAUCUGGUAGUCUUUGGCUGCCCGAGUUGUAAUCUAGAGAAGCAUUAUCCGCGUUGGACCGUGUACAAGUGUCCUGGAAUGGACUAUCAUAGAGGGUGAGAAUCCCGUCUUUGACACGGACUACCAAGGCUUUGUGAUGUGCUCUCAAAGAGUCGAGUUGUUUGGGAAUGCAGCUCUAAAUGGGUGGUAAAUUCCAUCUAAAGCUAAAUAUUGGCGAGAGACCGAUAGCGAACAAGUACCGUGAGGGAAAGAUGAAAAGAACUUUGGAAAGAGAGUUAAACAGUACGUGAAAUUGCUGAAAGGGAAACGCUUGAAGUCAGUCGCGUUGGCUGAGGAUCAACCUUGGCUUGGCUUACUCCUUAGUUGACGGGUCAGCAUCAGUUUUGACCGGUGGAUAAAGGCUAAGGGAAUGUGGCACCCUCGGGUGUGUUAUAGCCCUUGGUCA